UACGUAGGGGGCAAGCGUUGUCCGGAUUCACUGGGUUUAAAGGGUGCGUAGGUGGGCAGGUAAGUCAGUGGUGAAAUCUCCGGGCUUAACCCGGAAACUGCCGUUGAUACUAUUUGUCUUGAAUAUUGUGGAGGUAAGCGGAAUAUGUCAUGUAGCGGUGAAAUGCUUAGAUAUGACAUAGAACACCAAUUGCGAAGGCAGCUUACUACACAAUGAUUGACGCUGAGGCACGAAAGCGUGGGGAGCAAACAGG
rnacentral:rRNA from 1 species